rnacentral:rRNA from 1 species
UACAGAGGGGGCAAGCGUUGUUCGGAAUUACUGGGCGUAAAGCGCGCGUAGGCGGCUUUGUAAGUUAGAGGUGAAAGCCCGGAGCUCAACUCCGGAACUGCCUUUAAAACUGCAUCGCUUGAAUCCAGGAGAGGUGAGUGGAAUUCCGAGUGUAGAGGUGAAAUUCGUAGAUAUUCGGAAGAACACCAGUGGCGAAGGCGGCUCACUGGACUGGUAUUGACGCUGAGGUGCGAAAGCGUGGGGAGCAAACAGG